ACAUAGUCAUAUUUUUCCAUUUAUUGCUACACAUGAUCUUCAUUUCAAGUAAUCACACCAUUAUAAUUGUGUAAGGAUUGCACAAAUAUCACCUUAGAAUAAAUGAGAUGGUUUUAAACGUCAACAUGGGAACAGCUUGCGCACUCCCCUUCUUGGUUGUAAGGUCUAAUACAAAUUUUUGUGGCAUUUUUAGAUAGAUCAGAAGAAAAUUUAAUCUGGUAUUUACACUGACCUUACAUUGACUCUCUACAUAGUCUGCAUUCACGGGGUGGAAAGAUGAAUUUGUGAUGUAAAAGUCCCUGCCUGCUCCUCCUGCCUUGGUCCAAGAGAGAAAAGAUGUACCCAACACUCUCAUCCUUGGUUCUUGGAUCCCACUGAAUGGAACUGGCUCAAAGAAAUCCUUCCGAUUUAGCUUAAAAUAUAAAUUAUUUGAAAAGGACUGAUGCUAUUGAACCGCUUCAGUUUCCCUAACGUUAUAUGAGAACCCAAAGACAAGAAUUGUUCAGCAGGGACCACAGAUUGAUUUAUGUGCAAGAUUUAUUUUCCUGCUUUGACUUGAAGAGGACUUCCAAGCAGGCUGCAAGCCAGAGAACAACCAGGUGCGAGAGAAGCUCACAUUCUUUUACUUGACAGACUACUUCAUCAGUAAACAUAGGAAACAAUUGUUCCUACCAAAUCUCCUUGAAUCUGAAUAAGCUGCUUCAUGGAUCAAAAUGUCCCUUUCCUCUGUCUCUCUGAAUCCCAGACU
rnacentral:lncRNA from 1 species